rnacentral:rRNA from 1 species
GAUGAACGCUGGCGGCGUGCCUAAUACAUGCAAGUCGAGCGAACGGACGAGAAGCUUGCUUCUCUGAUGUUAGCGGCGGACGGGUGAGUAACACGUGGAUAACCUACCUAUAAGACUGGGAUAACUUCGGGAAACCGGAGCUAAUACCGGAUAAUAUUUUGAACCGCAUGGUUCAACAGUGAAAGACGGUCUUGCUGUCACUUAUAGAUGGAUCCGCGCUGCAUUAGCUAGUUGGUAAGGUAACGGCUUACCAAGGCAACGAUGCAUAGCGGACCUGAGAGGGUGAUCGGCCAAACUGGAACUGAGACACGGUCCAGACUCCUCGGGGAGGCAGCAGUAGGGAUCCUUCCGCAAUGGGCGAAAGCCUGACGGAGCAACGCCGCGUGAGUGAUGAAGGUUUUCGGAUCGUAAACCUCUGUUAUUAGGGAAGAACAAAUGUGUAAGUAACUGUGCACCUCUUGACGGUACCUAAUCAGAAAGCCACGGCUAACUACGUG